rnacentral:rRNA from 1 species
AUUGAACGCUGGCGGCAGGCCUAACACAUGCAAGUCGAGCGGAUGAAGGGAGCUUGCUCCUGGCUUCAGCUGCGGACGGGUGAGUAAUGCCUAGGAAUCUGCCUGGUAUUGGGGGAUAACGUCCGGAAACGGGCGCUAAUCCCGCAUACGUCCUGAGGGAGAACGUGGGGGAUCUUCGGACCUCACGCUAUCUGAUGAGCCUAGUUCGGAUUAGCUAGUUGGUAGGGUAAAGGCCUACCAAGGCGACGAUCCGUAACUGGACUGAGAGGAUGAUCAGUCACACUGGAACUGAGACACGGUCCAGACUCCUACGGGAGGCAGCAGUGGGGAAUAUUGGACAAUGGGCGAAAGCCUGAUCCAGCCAUGCCGCGUGUGUGAAGAAGGUCUUCGGAUUGUAAAGCACUUUAAGUUGGGAGGAAGGGCAGUAAGUGAAUACCUUGCUGUUUUGACGUUACCAACAGAAUAAGCAACGGCUAACUUCGUG